AGGGAAAAGCUCAAAUUUUGAAUCUGGCGUCUUUGGCGUCCGAGUUGUAAUCUAGAGAAGUGUUUUCCGCACCGGACCGUGCACAAGUUCCCUGGAACGGGGCGUCAUAGAGGGUGAGAAUCCCGUAUAUGG
rnacentral:rRNA from 1 species